rnacentral:rRNA from 1 species
GUAAAGGGAGCGUAGACGGUGUGGCAAGUCUGAUGUGAAAGGCAUGGGCUCAACCUGUGGACUGCAUCGGAAACUGUCAUACUUGAGUGCCGGAGGGGUAAGCGGAAUUCCUAGUGUAGCGGUGAAAUGCGUAGAUAUAUGGAAGAACACCAGUGGCGAAGGCGGCUCUCUGGUCUGCAACUGACGCUGAGGCUCGAAAGCAUGGGUAGCGAACAGGAUUAGAUACCCUGGUAGUCCAUGCCGUAAACGAUGAGUGCUAAGUGUUGGGAGGUUUCCGCCUCUCAGUGCUGCAGCUAACGCAUUAAGCACUCCGCCUGGGGAGUACGACCGCAAGGUUGAAACUCAAAGGAAUUGACGGGGGCCCGCACAAGCGGUGGAGCAUGUGGUUUAAUUCGAAGCAACGCGAAGAACCUUACCAGGUCUUGACAUCUAGUGCAAUCUGUAGAGAUACGGAGUUCCCUUCGGGGACGCUAAGACAGGUGGUGCAUGGCUGUCGUCAGCUCGUGUCGUGAGAUGUUGGGUUAAGUCCCGCAACGAGCGCAACCCUUGUUAUUAGUUGCCAGCAUUAAGUUGGGCACUCUAAUGAGACUGCCGGUGACAAACCGGAGGAAGGUGGGGAUGACGUCAAGUCAUCAUGCCCCUUAUGACCUGGGCUACACACGUGCUACAAUGGGCAGUACAACGAGAAGCAAGCCUGCGAAGGCAAGCGAAUCUCUGAAAGCUGUUCUCAGUUCGGACUGCAGUCUGCAACUCGACUGCACGAAGCUGGAAUCGCU